AUUGAACGCUGGCGGCAGGCUUAACACAUGCAAGUCGAGCGGAGACUUCGGUCUUAGCGGCGAACGGGUGAGUAAUACCUAGGAAUCUGCCUAUUAGUGGGGGAUAACGAAUCGAAAGGUUCGCUAAUACCGCAUACGUCCUACGGGAGAAAGGGGGGGAUCUUCGGACCUCUCGCUGAUAGAUGAGCCUAGGCCGGAUUAGCUAGUUGGUAGGGUAAAGGCCUACCAAGGCGACGAUCUGUAGCUGGUCUGAGAGGAUGGCCAGCCACACUGGAACUGAGACACGGUCCAGACUCCUACGGGAGGCAGCAGUGGGGAAUAUUGGACAAUGGGGGCGAACCCUGAUCCAGCCAUGCCGCGUGCGUGAAGAAGGCCUCG
rnacentral:rRNA from 1 species